UACGUAGGGGGCAAGCGUUGUUCGGAGUUACUGGGCGUAAAGCGCACGCAGGCGGUCUUUUAAGUUUGGAGUGACAGUUGGUGGCUUAACUGCCAAAGUAGCUUCGAAACUGAACAGACUUGAGGGCUUCAGAGGGACACGGAAUUCCGGGUGGAGUGGUGGAAAUGCGUAGAGAUCCGGAGGAACACCAAAGGCGAAAGGCAGAUGUCCUGGGGAGACCUGACGCUCAGGUGCGGAAAGCCAGGGGAG
rnacentral:rRNA from 1 species